AUAACUGCGAGCAACAAUAUUACGGCGUUUCGUAUUUUUUUCCUUUUGAUCCACCAGGCAACCAGUAGGAGGGUAACUUUCUCUCUCUUUGGGUAUCUCGUCGGUGGCUGAUAAGGAACCUCUUAAAAGUUUUACGGCAAUUGUUGCCAAACUAUCGGUUCAAAUGGAUAUUUUCGAAUUACUAUAAUCGCAAUUCGCAUUUAUACUCGUAAUAAUAAUGGUAGCCGUUGCCGGAUGGAAUUCGCUGUUGUUGACAAUUAAUGGUGAAUCAAUGAAUGUAUAUCUAAUCGACUGCCAUGGAGGUGGAGUUUCCUAGGAAUAUGAUGGAAGACAUUUUCUUUCGAGUGGGAAUAAUCAGCCAAUAAAAUUGAUAAAUUUAA